UAUAUAUUACUUUAAUAUAGAAUAAAAACCCACUUCCCCAUCUCUAUCUCUAAGAAAAAAUCUUUUCCUCCCUCUCCACGCGACGCCUGACCAUCGUUUCCUCGCCUCCGAGACAGAGCGGGAGCUCCCGGAACACUAGCUUUGGAUCGAGGGAGCCGUCGAGGUGCAGGAAUUUGGUGGUCGAUGUGCUUUGAAAUCGGUUGAGAUGAUGUUUAUUAGGGUGUUGGAGGGAUUGGAUCCCAUGUCUGGGGUUUGAAGAUUUGACGAUUUCGGUGAUGUGUGUUGUUUGUUUAAGUUGAGUCCGCCAUCGGCUUUGGGUACUCGGCCGAUGCGGAGACUAGGUUUCGUUGGUGGCGAUGGGGAAGGGUGUUGAUGACUUGGUCUCUGUGGUGGUAACGGGCGAACUGCUUCUUGGUAGGGGGAAAGGAAACUCCGACGCUUGUUAUGGUUCUUGGUUUGUUCGAUGUUUGUGAGGGAGGAAGCAGAACAGCAGGUUUUAGCUUAGAAUGGCUGUGUCAAAUGAAAAGUGGAUUGACGGGCUCCAGUUCUCAUCCCUCUUCUGGCCACCACCCCAAGAUGAGACGCAAAGGCAGGCACAAGUUUUGGCCUAUGUUGAAUACUUCAGCCAAUUCACCUCAGAGGAAUUCCCAGAAGAUAUAGCUCAGCUAAUCCAAAGUCAUUAUCCCUCUAAAGAAAAGCGCCUUCUGGAUGAAGUUCUGGCUCUAUUUAUUCUACAUCAUCCGGAGCAUGGCCAUGCAAUUGUCCAUCCUAUUCUGUCACUAAUAAUUGAUGGGACAUUGGUGUAUAAUAGAAACAACCCGCCAUUUAGUUCUUUCAUAUCCUUAGUCAGCCAAAAUUCAGAGAAACAGUGUUCUGAGCAAUGGGCUUUGGCAUGUGGUGAAAUUUUACGCAUAUUGACCCACUACAAUCGGCCAAUUUUCAAGGCUGAGUGUCAUAAUACUGGAACUGAGAGGAGCAAUAGUUGUAACCAUGCAACGACAAGCAAGUCUGAGAAACAAGAAGCUAACAAUCCAAUUCUACAGGAACAUGAUAGGAAACCACUACGACCAUUAUCUCCUUGGAUUACAGACAUAUUGCUUGCUUCACCAUUGGGCAUUAGAAGUGAUUAUUUUAGAUGGUGUGGUGGGGUCAUGGGCAAAUAUGCAGCUGGCGGAGAACUAAAACCUCCAACAACUGCAUGUAGUCAUGGAUCUGGAAAACAUCCUCUACUUAUGCCAUCAACUCCUCGAUGGGCUGUUGCCAAUGGAGCCGGAGUUAUAUUGAGUGUUUGUGAUGAGGAAGUAGCUCAUUAUGAAACUGCAAAUUUGACAGCAGCAGCUGUGCCUGCACUUUUACUCCCUCCUCCUACGACCCCCUUGGAUGAGCAUCUUGUUGCUGGACUGCCUCCUCUUGAACCUUAUGCUCGUUUGUUUCAUAGGUACUAUGCAAUUGCUACACCAAGUGCAACACAGCGGCUACUUCUUGGACUUCUUGAAGCACCUCCAUCAUGGGCUCCAGAUGCGCUUGAUGCUGCUGUACAGUUAGUCGAACUCCUUAGAGCAGCCGAGGAUUAUGCAUCUGGCAUGAGGCUUCCAAGAAAUUGGAUGCAUUUGCAUUUCCUGCGUGCUAUUGGCAUUGCGAUGUCCAUGAGAGCUGGUGUUGCUGCAGAUGCUGCAGCUGCUUUACUCUUCCGCAUACUCUCACAACCUACACUGCUUUUUCCGCCUUUAAGGCAUGCUGAAGGAGUUGAAGUCCAUCAUGAACCCCUGGGUGGUUUUAUAUCAUCAUAUAAGAAACAGCUUGAAGUUCCUGCAUCAGAAGCUUCUAUUGAAGCAACAGCUCAGGGGAUUGCGUCAAUGUUGUGUGCCCAUGGUCCUGAUGUUGAAUGGAGAAUGUGUACCAUAUGGGAAGCUGCAUAUGGUUUGCUUUCUCUGAGUUCCUCCGCUGUUGACUUGCCUGAAAUAGUAGUUGCAGCUCCAUUGCAACCUCCUCCAUUAUCUUGGAAUUUGUAUCUACCGCUAUUAAAAGUCUUGGAGUAUCUCCCACGAGGAAGCCCAUCUGAAGCAUGCCUCAUAAGGUUAUUUGUCGCUACUGUUGAAGCUAUACUCAGAAGAACCUUUCCUUCAGAAAGCUCUACUAAGCAAAAACGUAAAUCAAGACUUCAUGGAAGCAUGUGGUCUGCAACUAAGAACUUUGCUAUUGCAGAGCUUCAUACAAUGAUUCAUUCUCUAUUUCUGGAAUCUUGUGCAACAAUGGACCUUGCAUCCCGUUUAUUAUUUGUUGUGCUAACUGUUUGUGUUAGUCAUGAAGCUUUACCAAAUGGGAGUAAAAGGUCAACAGACUAUGGUAGUUAUUCUGCAGAUGAAUUCACUGAGGAGCCACAAGUUGUCAAUGGAAGAGCUGCUAAUAGAAACAAAAUUCGGAAGAAACAAGGACCUGUCUCAACAUUUGAUUCCUAUGUUCUGGCAGCUGUAUGUGCAUUGGCUUGUGAGCUUCAGUUGUUUCCUAUAAUUUCAAAAAAUGGUAUACAUUCAGAUUCCAAGAAAUCUGCAAAAAGCAUCAAGGCUGCAAAAACUAAUGGAAUUGCUUAUGAGUUACAUAGUACUAUAAGGUCUGCUGUCUGUCACACUCGUAGAAUUCUUGGAAUUUUGGAAGCCCUAUUCUCACUGAAGCCAUCUUCUAUUGGUACGUCAUGGAGCUACGGUUCGAAUGAGAUAGUAGCUGCUGCUAUGGUUGCUGCACAUGUUUCUGAGUUAUUUGGAAGAUCAAAGGCUUGCAUGAAUGCUCUCUCCAUUAUGAUGCGCUGCAAGUGGGAUGUAGAGAUUUCCACUAGGGCAUCUUCACUUUAUAAUCUUAUUGACAAACAUGGCAAAAUUGUUGCCUCAAUAGUUCAUAAGGCCGAACCUCUCGAAGCACAACUAGUACAUGCACAAGUGCGGAAGGAUGAUCCAACAUGUUCAAGUGGUAGAGUAUCAGUUUCUACGGGCAGCAGCGCCUUUUUACCAGAGGAUAUCCCAUGCUCAGAUUCUAACUGUAGUUCAUCAGGAACAUUUGUAAAGGCUGGCAAAGGAAUUUUAUCCACUGACACUAGUAUAGAGACAUCAGGGAAAAGUUUUUCAAGUUUGCCGGUUGAUGCUUCAGAUUUGGCAAAUUUUUUAAUGACAGACUGGUAUGUCGGUUACAAUUGUGGCGCACAAACUCUACUGAGAUCUGUUCUUGCAGAGAAACAGGAAUUAUGUUUCUCUGUUGUUUCAUUGUUGUGGCAUAAACUAAUUGCAGCCCCGGAAACAAAAAUGAGUGCAGAAAGUACAUCUGCUCAUCAGGGUUGGAGACAGGUUGUAGAUGCAAUUUGCAAUGUCGUUCCAGCAUCACCAACAAAAGCUUCAACAGCUAUCGUUCUACAGGCAGAAAAGGAUUUGCAGCCAUGGAUUGCAAGGGAUGAUGAGCAAGGGCAGAGAAUGUGGAAAAUCAACCAUCGAAUAGUUAAAUUGAUUGUGGAACUUAUGAGAAACCAUGAAUGCCCAGAAGCACUGAUAAUCCUGGCAAGUGCCUCAGAUCUUUUACUCCGUGCCACAGAUGGAUUGCUUGUCGAUGGAGAAGUAUGCACUCUGCCACAAUUGGAGGUAAUUUCAGAAGCAAACUAUAAGUAUAAUCUCAGUAUUAAAGUCCCAAUCUAUUGCUUAAACUGCUGGAUUGUUGUUAAUGCUUCAGAAUAAUUAGCUUGGAAUCAUCAUAGUUGUUUUCUUUUCUUAUUCAGUUUGUUCUCCUGAAGUCCCUCUUGUGUGUCUUUUCUGUUGAACAAAAUCUUGAACUAACAUUAGAGCUGGUUUAUACUUUUGUUCUACCUAUUCAAUGAUGAGCAGCUUCUAGAAGUGACAGCUAAAGCAGUUCAACUUGUGAUACACUGGGGAGAAACAGGUCUUGCAGUUGCAGAUGGCCUCGCAAAUCUGCUUAAGUGCCGUUUAUCAUCAACGGUCCGUUGCCUUUCUCAUCCAAGUGCACAUGUUCGUGCUCUCAGCACAUCAGUUCUUCGGGACAUAUUGCACAGCAGCCCAACAACCAUAUCCAGCGGUUGUUUGAACGUGGAUGGCCAGCGCAAUUGCAAUUCAUCUUACCACUGGCAGGCAGACAUGGAGAAAUGCAUACAAUGGGAGGCUCAGAGCAGACUUGCGACUGGUCUAACGCUUGCUUACCUUUGUGCCGCUGCAAAGGAAUUAGGCUGCCCCAUCGAUUGUUGAGGAGCUGCAGCAAAGUCCCUGAUGCGACAGCCAAGCUCUGAAACCAUCAUAUGUUUAAUAUUACGUGGUUAAACUUGCCAAUGCAUCGUACUUAUUAUGCAUGUUUAUGGUUUGGAAAACGGUUGUCAACUUAACAAAUGUCGUGUUUUCUUCCGCUAUAUCUGAUUGUUGCCACCGGGUGUCUUCGAUCUACAAACAGACGGGGAAGAACUUUAUAAAGCUGGGCAUGCUUGCAGGUUACGGUCUCUUGUGGUUAUGAGGCUUCGGUUCCCCGUUUCUUACUGUGGAUACGAAGCGCCCCCCUUAAUUAUAUCUGUAUGGAGAUUAUAUCAGCAUCGGCAGUUGACAUCAUUUUCGAUAAUUCGAUCCCUUCUCCGGAAGAUGAUGGAAAGGAUUGGAUGAAGUGGCUGGCUCAUGUCAGGGUGGGCUUUUUGGUUUGAGCGACACCAGACACGUCGCCUCUCCCACGCUUCCCGCCCGUUGUUGCCAGUGUCCCUGUCGCCAGUUCGGAUUUAUACAGCUCCGGCCAUGCACCAACGGCUGCCGAAAUUACAAACCUUGCCAAGAAAGUAUAUUUCAAGAUAUAUUCUACGUGUCUCGUCUCGAAUAAUCAUACUCUUAAGUCAUACCAGGCAUCAUCAUCUACGUGCUUAAAAGGGAUGAAAAACAAUAUGAGGAAAUAUUCCUUUAUCGCUAUGCUUCUCGGGGUCACAGUAUUAUGGACUUAAAUUGGUUUUUUAUCCCUCUAACCAUUCUGAUUAUAUCUCUUUCUAUAAUUAAACCCCUCAUAUGAUUCAUUAUUA